rnacentral:lncRNA from 1 species
GUGCUCAGCAGUGCUAUAUUAUUUCUCUGUUUAUGGUUCAGUUUUAUACCUCAGUAAUCUUUCUCUCUCUUUUUCUCUCUCCAGAGAAGUAAAAAAAAAAAAAAAAGAUGAAAAUGAGGAUGACAAUUACCAAUCUGAGUGGGACCAGUUCCAAAAAGUCAACCCAGAUAAGAAUUGUUGCAGUGGUUAAAUCCCAAACAUCCUUAGCCCGUGAAGCCUUUGUUCUCAGAGAACUGAAUAACUGUGAAUCUUUGUUUUUCCUGGACCAAACUAAAGUGAACUUCAUUCCUGUCUGAUCUUUCCCCAUCUUCAAAAGUGGAAGCACUGGAAGCUCCUUUGUUCAAGCUGUGUGCCUUUGAGAGAGGAAGAAAAAGACUUCAAGGGGCAAGUUUACUUUAAUGCAAAGAGUCAGUUUUCAAGUAAUGUAAUCCUUUUUUGGAUCAACUGAUGUUGAGUAUGAUUAGCAAACCCUUGAUAAUAAAGUCUCUGCAUUUAAUGCUGAUAUCUCA